ACUCCUACGGGAGGCAGCAGUGGGGAAUAUUGCGCAAUGGGGGAAACCCUGACGCAGCAACGCCGCGUGAACGAUGAAGGUUUUCGGAUCGUAAAGUUCUGUCAGAGGGGAAGAAUAAUGACGGUACCCUCAGAGGAAGCCCCGGCUAACUACGUGCCAGCAGCCGCGGUAAUACGUAGGGGGCAAGCGUUGUCCGGAAUUACUGGGCGUAAAGGGCGUGUAGGCGGUUUUUUAAGUCAGGCGUUAAAAUUCGGGGCUCAACCCCGGAGUGCGUUUGAAACUGGAGAACUUGAGUACUGGAGAGGUAAGUGGAAUUCCUAGUGUAGCGGUGAAAUGCGUAGAGAUUAGGAGGAACACCAGUGGCGAAGGCGGCUUACUGGCCAGAUACUGACGCUGAGGCGCGAAAGCGUGGGGAGCGAACAGGAUUAGAUACCCUGGUAGUCCACGCCGUAAACGAUGAGUACUAGGUGUUGGGGAGACUCAGUGCCGUAGUUAACACAAUAAGUACUCCGCCUGGGGAUUACGAUCGCAAGAUUGAAACUAAAAGGAAUUGACGG
rnacentral:rRNA from 1 species